rnacentral:tRNA from 1 species
GAAGUAUGAUGCUCAAGUAAAAGCUGCUAACUUUUUUCUUUUAAUGGUUAAAUUCCAUUUAUACUUC